GUUAAAUGAUAAAUCAGUCACAAACUGCUGGUUAUUUCUUUAAAAAGCAAAAGGAAAGUCCUAAUAAAAUUCAGUUUCACAUGUACGAUUGAAAAAAAUACACUAUAUGGCCAGAAGCAUAUGGACACCCCUACUAAUGAUUAAGUUUAGGUUGUUAACAAGUGUUUAAAAUCCAGCAAUUAGCCAUGAAGUCUCAGCAGACAAACAUUAGCUGUAAAAUGGGUCAUACUAAAGAGUUCUGUGACAUUAAAUGUGGCAUGGUCGUGAGAUGUCACCUUUGUCACAAGUCAAUCUGUGACAUUUAUACCCUACUCGAUCUGUUCUGGUCAACUGUGAGUGCUAGACUACACAAGUCCCAGACCAGAAGCUCCAAGUGCUGUGUAUAGAUCGCCUAUCAUCUGUUGCAUCACCUUUUACAGAGUUCAAACUGCCCCCAGUAGCCUAUCAGCACAAGAACUGUGCAUUGGUAGCUUUAUGAAAUGGGUUUCCAUGGCAUUUUGUAACUACGAAGUAAAGACAACUCCAUAUUAAUGCCCAUGGAUUUGGAAUGGGACAUUCAACAAGCUCAUAUAGGCAGAAUUACAAGUUGUCCAUAUACUGUAGGCCAUGUAAUGCUUUUUAAACAGUGUCCCUUUUGUAUUGGCAAAUAAAUAAUUCACACAUACAUAAUUAAAGCAAAUAUUUCAGAUAUUGGCAUUGAAUGAACUGAAUAUACAAAGUAUAUAAAAUAACAAUAUAUUGCCGUGGAUCAUACUGGAUUGUACUUUUUUCAGGGUGAGUUAAAACAAAGCAUAUUCCAUAAGUUCAGGAUUCUGUACCAGCCAGAGCAACGAAGUGAAUUAUGGGAUUUGUAGUCGGACACACUUAGUGUAGCCAAUUAAAGCUGCUCGGUAACUACCCCCUCUGAAAAAUGUAAUUGUGUAUUUUAUAAAGAUAAAAUAUUUAUGAAAAACUCACACUGACUGUGUUGGAAUACAUUAACCUGACCUGCACCGCACCCCCAGGUCACUAUACACAAAAAAAAUUAUAUUGCCAUCAAAGGCUCUUUGCAUAUUUUGAAGGUAACAAAUCCACUUUAAUUUAACUUUGCUUUUCAC